GAUGAACGCUAGCUACAGGCUUAACACAUGCAAGUCGAGGGGAAACGAUAUUGGAAGCUUGCUUCUGAUAGGCGUCGACCGGCGCACGGGUGAGUAACGCGUAUCCAACCUGCCCAUCACUUGGGGAUAACCUUGCGAAAGUAAGACUAAUACCCAAUGACGUCUCUAGAAGACAUCUGAAAGAGAUUAAAGAUUUAUCGGUGAUGGAUGGGGAUGCGUCUGAUUAGCUUGUUGGCGGGGUAACGGCCCACCAAGGCGACGAUCAGUAGGGGUUCUGAGAGGAAGGUCCCCCACAUUGGAACUGAGACACGGUCCAAACUCCUACGGGAGGCAGCAGUGAGGAAUAUUGGUCAAUGGACGAGAGUCUGAACCAGCCAAGUAGCGUGCAGGAUGACGGCCCUAUGGGUUGUAAACUGCUUUUAUAAGGGAAUAAAGUGAGUCUCGUGAGACUUUUUGCAUGUACCUUAUGAAUAAGGACCGGCUAAUUCCGUGCCAGCAG
rnacentral:rRNA from 1 species